rnacentral:rRNA from 1 species
UACAGAGGGUGCAAGCGUUAAUCGGAAUUACUGGGCGUAAAGCGUGCGUAGACGGUUAUGUAAGUCAGAUGUGAAAGCCCCGGGCUCAACCUGGGAAUUGCAUUUGAGACUGCAUAGCUAGGGUGCGGAAGAGGGAAGCGGAAGUUUCCGGUGUAGCGGUGAAAUGCGUAGAUAUCGGAAGGAACACCAGUGGCGAAAGCGGCUUCCUGGUCCAGCACCGACGUUCAGGCACGAAAGCGUGGGGAGCAAACAGG